AUAUAUAUAUAUAUAUAUAUAUAUAUAUUUUAAAUAUAUUUUUUUAUAAAUAUAAAUUAUAAUAAUUAAAUAUAUUAUGAUAAUUAUUAUAUAUUAAUACUAUAUAAUAUAUAUAAUAGGAAAAUAUAUAUAUAAUAAUUUUUUAUAUGCAGUAUAUUAAUUAUUAUAUAUUAAUAAUAUAAUAAUAUAAAAAAUAUAUUAAAUAGUUUUUCAUCGAUUCUUCUUUUCCUUUCAACCAAACACAGGCAUGGAAAACUAUUUUUCUUUUUCUACAAACCAAACAUAAACAACGUAAAACAUUUUUUCCACCGAAAAUUUUUUUUCCACCAAAAACUUUUUUUCCAUAGUUUUACGUGAAACCAAACACACCCUAAGGAAAAAACAACAGUAUCCAUUGAAGAUUCCCCACCACAUACAGCUUUUUAAUAUGAAUUCCUGUAGACUAAAA
rnacentral:lncRNA from 1 species